rnacentral:rRNA from 1 species
AAUGGCCUAACGGCUGAACCAGCAACUUGGAGGAAUGUAUAGCGAAAGCUAAUUUUAAAUAUUGGUUUACCCGAAUAAAAUUCUGAGCGGAAAAAUGAUGAUGACAUUUUCUUCAAAUGUCUUGACCAAAUUAUGUGCCAGCAGUCGCGGUAAUACAUAAAAGACUAGUGUUAUUCAUCUUUAAUAGGUUUAAAGGGUACCUAGACGGUAAAUAAAGCCUACUAAUUUGUAGAGUUACUUGUGAGGGGGCUAUUAAGUACUGGUGUGUAGAGAUGAAAUUCUUUGAUACC